rnacentral:rRNA from 1 species
AGUGAACGCUGGCGGCGUGCCUAAUACAUGCUAGUCGCACGAAGUGGCGCACGGGUGAGUCAUAUAUAGUUUAUCUGCACUACACAGAUGAACAACAGUUGGAAUCGGCUGCUCAUACAUCAUAGUGUAGCAUGAGACUAUAUCGUAUCAGCUAGUUGGUAAGGUAUUGGCUUACCAAGGCUAUGACGCGUAACUGGUCUGAGAUGAUGAUCAGUGACAUUUGAACUGAGACACGGUCCAAACUCCUACGGGAGGCAGCAGUAAGGAAUAUUGCGCAAUGGGUGAAACCCUGACGCAGCAACGCCGCGUGGAGGAUGACACUUUUCGGAGCGUAAACUCCUUUUAUCAGGAAAGCGGUACCUGAUGAAUAAGCACCGGCUAACUCCGUGCCAGCAGCCGCGGUAAGUC